AGAGUUUGAUCCUGGCUCAGGAUGAACGCUAGCUACAGGCUUAACACAUGCAAGUCGAGGGGAAACGACAUCGAAAGCUUGCUUUUGAUGGGCGUCGACCGGCGCACGGGUGAGUAACGCGUAUCCAACCUGCCCACCACUUGGGGAUAACCUUGCGAAAGUAAGACUAAUACCCAAUGAUAUCUCUAGAAGACAUCUGAAAGAGAUUAAAGAUUUAUCGGUGAUGGGAUGGGGAUGCGUCUGAUUAGCUUGUUGGCGGGGUAACGGCCACCAAGGCGACGAUCAGUAGGGGUUCUGAGAGGAAGUCCCCCANAUUGGAACUGAGACACGGUCCAAACUCCUACGGGAGCA
rnacentral:rRNA from 1 species